GAUGAACGCUGGCGGCGUGCCUAAUACAUGCAAGUCGAGCGAACAGACGAGGAGCUUGCUCCUCUGACGUUAGCGGCGGACGGGUGAGUAACACGUGGAUAACCUACCUAUAAGACUGGGAUAACUUCGGGAAACCGGAGCUAAUACCGGAUAAUAUAUUGAACCGCAUGGUUCAAUAGUGAAAGACGGUUUUGCUGUCACUUAUAGAUGGAUCCGCGCCGCAUUAGCUAGUUGGUAAGGUAACGGCUUACCAAGGCAACGAUGCGUAGCCGACCUGAGGGGGUGAUCGCCCACACUGGAACUGAGACACGGUCCAGACUCCUACGGGAGGCAGCAGUAGGGAAUCUUCCGCAAUGGGCGAAAGCCUGACGGAGCAGCGCCGCGUGAGUGAUGAAGGUCUUCGGAUCGUAAAACUCUGUUAUUAGGGAAGAACAAAUGUGUAAGUAACUAUGCACGUCUUGACGGUACCUAAUCAGAAAGCCACGGCUAACUACGUG
rnacentral:rRNA from 1 species